AGGGAUUACCUCAGUAACGGCGAGUGAAGCGGUAACAGCUCAAAUUUGAAAUCUGGGUCUUUCAGGCUCCGAGUUGUAAUUUGUAGAAGAUGCUUCGGGUGCGGCUCCGGUCUAAGUUCCUUGGAACAGGACGUCAUAGAGGGUGAGAAUCCCGUAUGUGAUCGGCCGCUUGCGCCCAUGUGAAGCUCUUUCGACGAGUCGAGUUGUUUGGGAAUGCAGCUCCAAAUGGGUGGUAUAUUUCAUCUAAAGCUAAAUAUUGGCCAGAGACCGAUAGCGCACAAGUAGAGUGAUCGAAAGAUGAAAAGCACUUUGGAAAGAGAGUUAAACAGUACGUGAAAUUGUUGAAAGGGAAGCGCUUGCAACCAGACUUGCGUGUUGUUGAUCAUCCGGGGUUCUCCCCGGUGCACUCGACCUCACUCAGGCCAGCAUCGGUUUCGGUGGUUGGAUAAAGGCCUUGGGAAUGUAGCUCCUCUCGGGGAGUGUUAUAGCCCUCGGUGCAAUGCAGCCUACCGGGACCGAGGACCGCGCUUCGGCUAGGAUGCUGGCGUAAUGGUUGUAAGCGACCCGUCUUGAAACACGGACCAAGGAGUCUAACAUCUAUGCGAGUGUUUGGGUGUCAAACCCAUACGCGUAAUGAAAGUGAACGGAGGUGAGAACCCUUAAGGGUGCAUCAUCGACCGAUCCUGAUGUCUUCGGAUGGAUUUGAGUAAGAGCAUAGCUGUUGGGACCCGAAAGAUGGUGAACUAUGCCUGAAUAGGGUGAAGCCAGAGGAAACUCUGGUGGAGGCUCGCAGCGGUUCUGACGUGCAAAUCGAUCGUCAAAUUUGGGUAUAGGGGCGAAAGACUAAUC
rnacentral:rRNA from 1 species